rnacentral:rRNA from 1 species
GACAGAGGUCCCGAGCGUUAGGCGGAAUCACUGGGCUUAAAGCGUGUGUAGGCGGAUCGUUAAGUGCCUUGUGAAAUCCCACGGCUUAACCGUGGAACUGCUUGGCAUACUGGCGGUCUUGAGCCACUUAGGGGCAACCGGAACAAAUGGUGGAGCGGUGAAAUGCGUAGAUAUCGAGAGGAACACCAGUGGCGAAGGCGAGUCUCUGGACGACUCCUGACACUGAGGCACGAAAGCCGGGGGAGCAAACAGG